UAUACCAAGCAAGGUACCCCGGUGAAACCUCACCUUUGGACCGAUCACGUACACAUGUAUUUGCUGUUAAGUACUGACCCUCGCUCCAUAUUUGGUGAACUGUUGCUUCAUGAAACUGGCAUUAGGUUCGAUCUUUACUUGGAUACUAAGAUCUUCAUCCAUUGGAACUAUUUGACAUCUCCCCAACAGCCUCAAAACCUAAUACGAGGCAUUAGGUUGGAUACUCCUAAGUCCCAUUAAUAGGAAAUGAGGUCCGGUGGCUGGCAUGUAUAUGAUCUCUUCCACAUGAAGCCAUCCAAAUGUCCACUCUAUUUGGCUUGUAGUGACGGAACGGAGGCGUGUUACCCAAUCCAUGACCCCCUCUGGCAAACUAAUCCUAUCAACUCUUGUUGAAAAUUUCUCUAUACAUGUUUUCUCUGUCGACCCAUACCUCAUAAAUUGAGGAUGAUGGCAUGGUUGUUCGAUCAUCC
rnacentral:lncRNA from 1 species